UUUUGUAUGUUAUCCAUAUAAGGCUCAAAAUAUCACAAGUUAAUUGAUCUACCACAAAUGAUGUACAAUUUAGAGUUUAGUCCUACCUAUCAUACUAAAAAUGCACAACAAAUUUUUUACAUCACACCACAAGACUUUAGUCAAGAGAACUAAGAAAAAUACUCAUAAUUGUAACUCAAAAACCAAUGGAAAAAAUAUGCAAUUUUUUUAAGAAAGCAAACAAAGACCAAAACUGAGAAAAACUGAAAACAAAAC
rnacentral:lncRNA from 1 species